rnacentral:rRNA from 1 species
CAGUAGCCACGGGAAUACGGAGGGAGCUAGCGUUGUUCGGAAUUACUGGGCGUAAAGCGCGCGUAGGCGGUUACUCAAGUCAGAGGUGAAAGCCCGGGGCUCAACCCCGGAACUGCCUUUGAAACUAGGUGACUAGAAUCUUGGAGAGGUCAGUGGAAUUCCGAGUGUAGAGGUGAAAUUCGUAGAUAUUCGGAAGAACACCAGUGGCGAAGGCGACUGACUGGACAAGUAUUGACGCUGAGGUGCGAAAGCGUGGGGAGCAAACAGGAUUAGAUACCCCCGUAGUCCCUGUCUCUUAUAC